GUUAGAGCGCGCGCUUGAUAAGCGUGAGGUCGGAAGUUCAAGUCUUCCCAGGCCCACCACUUUGAUCGAGCGCACUACGUCUCAAUAAUCGACGUAAAGCAUUCGUCUUCUGGUACGGGGCCAUAGCUCAGCUGGGAGAGCGCGUGCUUUGCAAGCAUGAGGUCGUCGGUUCGAUCCCGUCUGGCUCCACCAGAUGGAAUUGAAGAUCGACAAAGUGCCCUGCUAACAAAGCGCCUUUCAUAUCGUCCGCGAAACAUCACUUCGCACGCAUUGUCCGGAUGGACAGUGACGUGCGUGAUAUCUGACAUCGUAAAGAGGAGAUCGAUCCGAGUUUGGGAUCUGCAAAGCAAUUUGCGGGCUCUCAUUCCUAAUCUCCAGAUCAUUUCGGCGCUCGCUCAUCGCAAGAUGAGUGAGUUGUAAAUGAUCUUUGUAGCGAAGCUUGACCGCCUCGCUAUCGGUUCGAUCUUACGAAGCAAGCUGGUCUUUCUAAUCAGUGUCCAGCCGCAUGCAGCAUUCAUCGAGGGUGCGCGCCUUUUGACUUCGGUCUUGAGGCAAGUGUGCGGACAACAUUCUGCCGAGUGUGUGGACAUUGAUAAUGAGAGCAAUCAAGUGCCUUAAGGGUGUUCGGUGGAUGCCUUGGCGCUGAGAGGCGAUGAAGGACGUGCUACGCUGCGAUAAGCCGUGGGGAGCUGCGAAGAAGCUUUGAUCCACGGAUUUCC
rnacentral:misc_RNA from 1 species